CGUGAAGAAAGAAGGAUACAAUUUGGCAAGGUAAUUACUGCCAGAGUACACACAAUGGAGGAGCAGGCGAUUGUCUCGCUGGUAUUUACAUGGCCACUUUUAUCUGAGGGCAGUGUAGAUGAUUAUCCAUGUUCAGACUUGAAAGGUUGCCAAAGGGCACAACUGCAGAGGCGAGCCUGUGAGUCUUCUCAUUCAUCCUCUGGUGACAUCGCUUCUCAUUGCAGAAUUCUUGUCACGUGCCUUUAUUUAAUGUCACGAUAUCUAUGCAUACAGUAUGUUUUCCAGUGUCUCACUCACACAUGCUCACAGAGGCAUCGAAUAUGGCUGACCAUCUCUCGCCUGCAAUGAGGGCAUGAUUGAAAAAGUUUCGGAUCGGGAUCGACACUCGGGGCAGAAGCUCUUUGAGUCCGGCCCGAUAUUCUCGGCGGAUGAGGCAGUAGAGGACCGGGUUGAGGCAGCUGUUUGCCUGGGCCAGGCACACGCUCAGUGGGAAGGCAUAGGCCUGCGCGUUGUAGAAGGCUUUAUUGAAGGGCACCAUGUCCAACUUGAUCAACACGCCCCAAAGCGUCAGAGCCUGGUUGGGCAGCCAGCAGACGAAGAAGGACAAAACUACGAUGGUGACGGAGCGGGUGACUUUGGAGCGGCGGCGAUGGCGACCACGCUCGCAUUCGGAUCUGUCUGCCAUGGCCCCGCCGAUGGCACUGCCCACCACGCGCCGGCUCAGGAUGAACUUCAAGAGGAGGAGAGCCCAAGGAGUACUUGAGGAUCCAAGCGACUGGAAUCGGAUUCGGAGAACCUCACAAGGCAGAGCUCAUCGUCGGCAGACACCUGUGAACGCAACCAUUUGGUGGUCUAAAUCUCAAUUGUCACAAAAAAAAAAAAACUGUACUGCUACAGCAUGUGAGUACUUGUCAACAAACCUGAACAGUGGUGGAGUAGAUGGAAUGCGGCAAGGUGGCAACCAGUGAAACCACCCAAAUAGCCAAACUGGCCCACUUGGCUCGAACAGCCGCCCGCCUCGGGCUGGCGAUCUUCAGAGAGGUGACCAACGAGUGGUAGCGGGUCACGCUCAUGGCGGGCCAGCGGAAGUCCAGGACCGUGUCCACGGCCCAGAAGGGCAAGGUGAGGACAAACUGGAGGUCGGUGAGCGCCAGGCUCAUCACAAAACAGUCGAUGGAGGAGUGGUGGUGACCUCGGUGACGGAAGUGAAGCAGGAAGAGUGCCAGGAGGUUCCCCACAAGACCCAGGACACAUACCACCAGGAACACCAGCACUAUAUGAAGAUCAGAUGCAGAUUAAACAGAUUGGAGCCUGCACACUUACCGCCGUGUUGGCAGCGUCUCCGUGCAGAUCCACUGAAGAUUCCCUGGAGAGGAUAUGGAGCCAGCAGUUGAGGGACAGGUUC